GGCGGCUCAGUGGUAGAGUGCUUGCCUUACAUGCAUGAAGCCCUAGGUUCAAUUCCUCAGCACCA
rnacentral:tRNA from 1 species